GAUAAACGCUGGCGGCGUGCCUAACACAUGCAAGUCGAACGCCCUUACGCAAGUAAGGGAGUGGCGGACGGGUGAGGAACACGUGGGUGAUCUGCCUUGAGGCGAGGAAUACCGGCGAGAAAUCGCCGACAAUACCGCAUACGUUCGCAAGAACAAAGUCGCAAGACGCCUUGAGAUGAGCCUGCGUCCGAUUAGCUAGUUGGUGGGUAAAGCCUACCAAGGCAGCGAUCGGUAGCUGGUCUGAGAGGACGAUCAGCCACACUGGGAUUGAGAACGGCCCAGACU
rnacentral:rRNA from 1 species